rnacentral:rRNA from 1 species
GACGUAGGGCGCGAGCGUUGUCCGGAUUUAUUGGGCGUAAAGAGCUCGUAGGCGGCUUGUCGCGUCGACUGUGAAAACUCGGGGCUCAACCCCGCGCUUGCAUUCGAUACGGGCAGGCUCGAGUUCGGUAGGGGAGACUGGAAUUCCUGGUGUAGCGGUGAAAUGCGCAGAUAUCAGGAGGAACACCGGUGGCGAAGGCGGGUCUCUGGGCCGAUACUGACGCUGAGGAGCGAAAGCGUGGGGAGCGAACAGG